ACCACGGUGAAACGAAAACUAGACAACGAACCAGGGUCGUUUUUGGGUUGAAACGAUCAAGAGAAAUUCAAAAGACGCCACUAUUUCCUGGAGGCAGCUAGCAAAGGGAGAAUGUGUUACUACGUUAUCCCAAGAAAGGAACAAAACUACACUAAAACACAACACAAAGAAAGCAAAUUUUAAUCAGUUGAACCAGAAGAUAAUCGAUGAAAGACUAAACAAACGGUAAGCAUAAAAAAAACCACGCACCUGGGAUGAAAUGUCGCAAGAGAGAAAAAGAGAGGAGGAAGACGAUAAAGAUAUCAUAAACAACAAUAGAAUGCCGCAACAAAAAGAAGACGUGCCAAAAGGGAGAAAAAGAAGAGUGCCGCGAGAGAAAAAGGAGAAAAGGAAGAGGAAGAUACCAGAAACUGAAUGCCGCGAAGAGUUUGCAGUCUACUUAAAAUGAAACUGGGCGUCGGUUUCUCCAGAUAGUCGACGUCUACAUGACUAUAGACGUCAGUUUUGUUACUAAUUUGACGUCCAAGUUAACUUUUCAACUGACCUUUUGAAUCCCACUAGACGUUGGUAACAAUGGGAACCGACGUCUAGGAAGCUGAAACGAUUGACAUUUGAUUUCCUGUUAGGGAUGUUGACGACAGUUGUGAUGGGGCGCCGACGUCUAUAAUGUGCACAUCAUUACUUACAGGCACAUAGACGUCGGUGCCUCUUCUAGCCAACAUCUAUGGCCCUUGAAUUUGGUGAAUCUAAUUAAUUACAGGCACGUAGACGUUGCGUGCACAGAUCCCCGAC
rnacentral:lncRNA from 1 species